ensembl:lncRNA
UCUCAAUUCUUUUUCAACAGCUGGAAAUGUACAGAGGUCUCUGUGGACUGGAAGCUGGCAAACAUUGUCUCAGUUUUCAAGAAGGGCAAGAAGGAAGACCCUGGUAAUGUCAGUCUAACUUUGGUGCCUGGCAAAUUUAUGGAGAUUAUUCUGAUAGCCAUUGAAAAACAUCUGAAAAGACAACACUGUCAUUGGUCACAGCCAGUGGGUUCAGGGGGAGAAAGUCCUGAACUUUAAUAUCCUUUUAUGACAAGGUUACCCACCUAGUUGACCAAGGGAAGUCAGUUGAUGUCAUAUUUUUGCAUUUCAGCAAGGUUUUCAAUGCUGUUUUUCAAAGUAUUCUUCUGGACAAAAUGCUCAGUAUGCAGCUAGACAACUACAUCAAAUGGUGGGUGAAGAAUUACCUGAUGGGUUGAGCUGAAAGAGCUACAGUACAUGGGGUAACAUCAGGCUGGUGGGCAGUCACUAUUGUGGCUCCCUAAGGGCUUGAUUUUAGGGCCAGUUCUCCAGUGUUUUCCUAAAUGACUUGGAUGCAGGACUUGAAGGCAUACUAAGUUUGUGGACAACACUAAGCUGGGAGGAAGUGUUAAGUCCCUCAGGGUAGAGAGGCCUUGCAGAGAGAUCUUGACAAGUCAGAGAGCUGAGCAAUCACCACCUGUGAGUAGUAUAACAAGAGCAGUGCUGGAUUUUGCACCUGGGAGAUGGGCAACACUGGGUAUAUAUAUAGAAUGGAGGACGAAAGGCAGCCGAAAGGGCCAACUGUGCCCUGGAGUGCAUCAGGCCCAGCACUGCCACCAGCUGAGGGGAGGGGUUGUACUGCACUGCUCUGUGCUGUACGGCCUCACCUCCAGCACUGGGUGCAGCUUUGGGGCCACGGUAUGAGAAGGGCAUAAAGCUAUUAGAGAGCAUCCAAAGGAGGGCAACGAAGAAGGGUCUGGAGGACAAGCUGCAUGAGGAGCAGCUGAGGUCCCUGGCUUGGGAUAUUCCCUGAUUCUGAUUCUAGAAGAGGGGACUGAAAGUGACAUGCCACCAGCCAGAUGAGUGCUGCGUGGGACGGGAAUCCAGAGGGAUGGAUUACGUGCAGUGUGUAGGAGACAUCUCUGAGGCUUGUCUUGCCUGCCACAGAAUGCCCUAAAGGCUGCAGCUUCUCUCCGUUUCUCUCCUCACCGUGCACGUGUGCAUUCAUCUCGUGCUGUGUGAGUCCCUUUGCAGUAACUGUUUUCGUAACAUCGUGCUCUGACUCUCCUUAGUACCUGAUUAGACUGUGCUGCUCCCGGCUCCCCAGAUUACAGGCUUAUUUCCACCUUAUCCAAGGCUCUUGCUCUUAUUCCCGUGGCACUGAAGUGACUUUUACUUUCUCACACCCGUGGCAAUGUUGUAAGGAGAUAAGAGCCUGCAUAUUCCCAUUGACUGCCAUUGCCUGGCAACAGAGUUACAAUGUCCUCUGCGAUUCCAACGUCACUGCUAAUCGGUGUUGAGACAUUUUACAUAUUAACCUGCACAGAAUAUGACCGUUUUGUCCUGCGCUGAACCCAUCUGAGAAUCAGCUGCAGUGAUGCACAGCAG